rnacentral:rRNA from 1 species
GACGAACGCUGGCGGCGUGCCUAACACAUGCAAGUCGAGCGAAUGGAGUUCCUUCGGGAACGGAUUUAGCGGCGGACGGGUGAGUAACACGUGGGCAACCUACCUCAUAGAGGGGAAUAGCCUUCCGAAAGGGAGAUUAAUACCGCAUAAGAUUGUAGUACCGCAGGGUACAGCAAUUAAAGGAGCAAUCCGCUAUGGGAUGGGCCCGCGGCGCAUUAGCUAGUUGGUGAGGUAACGGCUCACCAAGGCGACGAUGCGUAGCCGACCUGAGAGGGUGAUCGGCCACAUUGGGACUGAGACACGGCCCAGACUCCUACGGGAGGCAGCAGUGGGGAAUAUUGGACAAUGGGCGCAAGCCUGAUCCAGCCAUGCCGCGUGAGUGAUGAAGGCCUUAGGGUUGUAAAGCUCUUUCAGUGGGGAAGAUAAUGACGGUACCCACAGAAGAAGCCCCGGCUAACUUCGUGCCAGCCGCCGCUGUAA